GUGUUAAAGUAGGAAAUCUGCUUUAGUAAAAUCUGGCUAUAUGCUGGAAACUCCCGUGUAUCUUUGACUGGCAACGGCCAAAGUGGGGACAAUCAGCAGGAAAGACUUCUAUGGAAUCAUAGAAGAAUCCUCAGAGACCAUACGCCAGACUGAGUUUUCCUCAGAAGAUAUGGUCCGAACUUCAUGGCGACAUGGAG
rfam:Candidatus Yanofskybacteria bacterium RIFCSPLOWO2_02_FTLL_47_9b rifcsplowo2_02_scaffold_90875, whole genome shotgun sequence.